GACGAACGCUGGCGGCAGGCCUAACACAUGCAAGUCGAGCGCUGUAGCAAUACAGAGCGGCGCACGGGAUAAUAACGCGUGGGAACCUACCUUAUGGUUCGGAAUAACAUCGGGAAACUGGUGCUAAUACCGGAUAAGCCCUUCGGGGGAAAGAUUUAUUGCCAUUAGAUGGGCCCGCGUUAGAUUAGCUAGUUGGUGAGGUAACGGCUCACCAAGGCGACGAUCUAUAGCUGGUCUGAGAGGAUGAUCAGCAUCACUGGGACUGAGACACGGCCCAGACUCCUACGGGAGGCAGCAGUGGGGAAUAUUGGACAAUGGGGGAAACCCUGAUCCAGCCAUGCCGCGUGAAUGACGAAGGCCUUCGGGUUGUAAAGUUCUUUUGACGGGGACGAUGAUGACGGUACCCGUAGAAUAAGCUCCGGCUAACUUCGUGCCAGCAGCCGCCGUAA
rnacentral:rRNA from 1 species